rnacentral:rRNA from 1 species
AUUGAACGCUGGCGGCAGGCCUAACACAUGCAAGUCGAGCGGAGCGGCGGACGGGUGAGUAAUGCCUAGGAAGCUGCCUGGUAGUGGGGGAUAACGUCCGGAAACGGGCGCUAAUACCGCAUACUAUCAGAUGAGCCUAGGUCGGAUUAGGUAGUUGGUGGGGUAAAGGCCUACCAAGGCGACGAUCCGUACCUGGUCUGAGAGGAUGAUCAGUCACACGGGAACUGGACAACGGUCCAACCGCCUACGGGAGGCAGCAGUGGGAAAUAUGGGACAAGGGGCGAAAGCCUGAUCCAGCAAGGCCGCGUGUGUGAAGAAGGUCUUCGGAUUGUAAAGCACUUUAAGUUGGGAGGCGUUACCAACAGAAUAAGCACCGGCUAACUUCGUGCCAGCAGCCGCGGUAAUUC